UCUAAACACAGAGAACUGCAGCCCC
rnacentral:piRNA from 2 species